CAUUAACUUCUUAAAUUGGAUACAUAAUCUAUUUUAGAAAAUGCUUCUUAUUAUUAGCAGUGUGGUCUACCCAUUUUUCAGUGAACUGUUUUAGCUGUUCUGAUGCAUAUUUUCAUUGUCACUAUUUUCUAAGAAGUUUUUAGAGUUUGUUUGGAUUUUCCUUCUCCUUCAAUAUCUUCACAGUUUAUCAUAUGCAGAGCUUUAUCCUUUAAAAUGGCGCGCUUCACAUUCAUCUCGUCUAUAGGUCUGACUUUUAUUCCUUUCUCCUUACAGCUUACCUGUUAAAGAGCCUGGAGUAUGUGAGUUACCGAGCUUCCUACAACCUAGUUUUGCAAUUCAUCUUUGCCUUCUACCUCUUAUAUUCUUUUUGAAUUAGCAGUUAGAUCAGACCUGGGUUCUGUUCCUUUGGCAAGACCAAGAGAGAUGGUUGUUCAGGCACAUGAGCUGCUUACUCUUCAGUGGACGGAAGUGUAUGGGCAUCUCAAAAAUUCACAGGAUCAUUCCAAUUCACAGUUGGUAUUAAUUUCUCCCAUAAGACUUCUCAGUAUUAUAGCGACUCGUCUCCUUUCUCCCAGGGAAAGAGUUUUUAAAAAUCCAAACUACAAAGUCGUCCCAGAAAUAGAAGAGGUGAAGUAACCUCAAGAGCUCACUGGAAUAUAAUUUGAGGCGAGAAGAGCUAUCACCUCCAACCAUAGCGAGUAUGGUAAGAGUCAGAAGGGAAAUGAAGCCGGAGAAAAAGCUAAGGAAGGAAGACAGUGAACACACCAUCAGGAGACACCGCCCACGUUUCCAGGUGUUUCCUCCAGGUCAGAGUGCCACCUGCUCUGUGCUCUCUCUCAGGAUGGGAGAGAGAGCUGCAACGAUUCUCAGCUCCACUCAAACCAGUACGGUGUAUCACAUCAGGGACUGAACAAGCAGGAUCUUAAAUUCCAAUAUGGGGUACACAGAAAAGUGGUUUUUACUUUUUGCUGUGAAAGGAAAACCUGUAUUGAGCACCCACACUCACUGUAGUUUGUUUUUCUCACCUUGUUUUUUAUUUCUGUCAAAUGAAAAUAGUACAUUAUAAUUUCAUUCACUUUAUUCAGCAGAUCUCACUCUUCCUCCAAGUCACAAUGACCAUGGAAUAAAGAAUUUUUGAAAAAUUCAGGACACAGAGGCAGCCAGGACGGUGCAACUCAGGGCACCCAGGAAAGAGGACUUGCGGAACUGCUUCAGAAAGCGUCAAGGAUGAUGAGAUUAGCGUGUUUGAAGGGAAGCGGAGCAUUUUGAAGGGGAUUUGAUGUGUUCUUUAUUGUAAUACAUUUUGCUGUUGAUGUUGCUGUUGAUGUGUCCUUUAUUGUAAUACAUUUCAAAACCUUAAGGGCUAGGGAUUUAGCUCCGUGGCAUUAGUGCCUGUCAGGCAACCAUGAGAUCAUGAGUUUGAUCCCCUGUACAAAAACAAAACAAAACAAAAAAUAAAAUUUUAAACAUAUUACACCUUAUACAAAUAUUAAAAAUAAAACUAAAGUUGAAUGUUA